rnacentral:rRNA from 1 species
UCGAGGGGAAACGGCAUUGAGUGCUUGCACUCUUUGGACGUCGACCGGCGCACGGGUGAGUAACGCGUAUCCAACCUUCCCAUUACUGUGGGAUAACCUGCCGAAAGGCAGACUAAUACCGCAUAGUCUUCGAUGACGGCAUCAGAUUUGAAGUAAAGAUUUAUCGGUAAUGGAUGGGGAUGCGUCUGAUUAGCUUGUUGGCGGGGUAACGGCCCACCAAGGCAACGAUCAGUAGGGGUUCUGAGAGGAAGGUCCCCCACAUUGGAACUGAGACACGGUCCAAACUCCUACGGGAGGCAGCAGUGAGGAAUAUUGGUCAAUGGACGGAAGUCUGAACCAGCCAAGUAGCGUGCAGGAUGACGGCCCUAUGGGUUGUAAACUGCUUUUGUAUGGGGAUAAAGUUAGGGACGUGUCCCUAUUUGCAGGUACCAUACGAAUAAGGACCGGCUAAUUCCGUGCCAGCAGCCGCGGUAAUACGGAAGGUCCAGGCGUUAUCCGGAUUUAUUGGGUUUAAAGGGAGCGUAGGCUGGAGAUUAAGUGUGUUGUGAAAUGUAGACGCUCAACGUCUGAAUUGCAGCGCAUACUGGUUUCCUUGAGUACGCACAACGUUGGCGGAAUUCGUCGUGUAGCGGUGAAAUGCUUAGAUAUGACGAAGAACUCCGAUUGCGAAGGCAGCUGACGGGAGCGCAACUGACGCUUAAGCUCGAAGGUGCGGGUAUCAAACA